rnacentral:rRNA from 1 species
GACGAACGCUGGCGGCGUGCUUAACACAUGCAAGUCGAACGGAAAGGCCCUGCUUUUGUGGGGUGCUCGAGUGGCGAACGGGUGAGUAACACGUGAGUAACCUGCCCUUGACUUUGGGAUAACUUCAGGAAACUGGGGCUAAUACCGGAUAGGAGCUCCUGCUGCAUGGUGGGGGUUGGAAAGUUUCGGCGGUUGGGGAUGGACUCGCGGCUUAUCAGCUUGUUGGUGGGGUAGUGGCUUACCAAGGCUUUGACGGGUAGCCGGCCUGAGAGGGUGACCGGCCACAUUGGGACUGAGAUACGGCCCAGAAUCCUACGGGAGGCAGCAGUGGGGAAUAUUGCACAAUGGGGCGAAGCCUGAUGCAGCAAAGCCGCGUGGGGGAUGAAGGCCUUCGGGUUUGAAACCGCCUUCGCCUGUGACGAAGCGUGAGUGACGGUAAUGGGUAAAGAAGCACCGGCUAACUACGUG